CAGUCGCCACGGGAAAACGGAGGGGGCUAGCGUUGCUCGGAAUUACUUGGCGUAAAGGGCGCGUAGGCGGACAGUUAAGUUGGGGGUGAAAGCCCGGGGCUCAACCUCGGAAUUGCCUUCAAUACUGGCUGUCUUGAGUAUGAGAGAGGUGUGUGGAACUCCGAGUGUAGAGGUGAAAUUCGUAGAUAUUCGGAAGAACACCAGUGGCGAAGGCGACACACUGGCUCAUUACUGACGCUGAGGCGCGAAAGCGUGGGGAGCAAACAGGAUUAGAGACCCGUGUAGUCCCUGUCUCUUAUAC
rnacentral:rRNA from 1 species